GAGGCUUUCUUCACAGCUAGCUGAUCGGAUCCUUGCAGCUGUUUCUUCUGUAGGUCUCGGAGCUCACUGAGAACGUCCAGCACGCCUUCCCGGCGGGGCCCGGCCCAGGUGCGCACUAGAUGAGGCAGUCAACCAAGUCAAUUGGUUCCCGAUCAACUAAAUCUCUCCUAAAAAUAAACACUGCCGCGAGCUUCGAGAGUUCAGCGUGUCAGAGCCUCUAUGAUGGCAGAGCACCUGCCGCGAUGCCUGAUUGGUAGGGAGAAGGAUUUCCCGGGAGGGGGCCAAUACCAAAUUUUAGGGCUGUUAGGCUCUGAGCAGUCCCUUCGUGACCGGAUAAGUCAGAGACCCGGGGUUUGAGCCUUGCCCGGCGCUGAGCGGAGGGCCCAGUUUCGGGACCACAGCCUUGCUCCCUGGGAGCUCCGGGCGGCCAAUGCCGGGCAAGCCCAGCCCGGCACAGGAGGAGGCAGGGCCCGUCUCCGGAAAGAGGGCCAGAGGCAGAACUGAGGGCCUGGUUUUGUGUAAUUCGAUUUGGAUACAAACAGGCCAGACCCAAACUGGAAACGGCGAAGGGCUGGAUUAGCACCGAAGGGAUUCGAGGAGGCAAACGGGAAGUAAAAAUGCUGUGUGGAGCUGCAGAGGGCAAGGGGACAGGGGUUGCAAAGGAAAGAGCUUCGUGAGACUUUCUCCUUCCCGGCGUAGGGACCAGCAGAGUGCGGGCAGGUCAGCCCUGUCACCGGUUCGUUUAGGGAAAAAGCGCGACAUGGGGCCUGGGAGACAGGGGCAGAGGCGGUGACAGCGAGGGCCCCUGCUCGGGUGGGCCCGCGGGCCUCAGCUCAGUCCCCUCCCGAGGGACCGCGACCCCCGGCCCCGCGGCCGCCCGCGCGCACUCACCAGCCCGGGCUGCCCUGGGCGGAGCCGCCCCGCCGCGCUCCACAGCCGCUGCCUCUUCGACGCGCGCGCUGCCUCCAGGUGCGGCUCUAGGAGGAGGCGCCGCGGGCAGUGCCGGCCGCGCCCCGCGACUCCCGGUAACCCGAGCCCGCCCCGCCCCGCUAGGGCCAGGCCCCGCCGCCACCCUCCGCGCUGGGACGCCGGGGCGCGGGCAUCCCUGCCGCCUACGGAUCUCUUCCCAAGCACCUAGAACUUUCCAAAGCGUGCUUGGAAUUUAACACCUUGGUCGUCGAUCCCCGCAAAUAUACUCUGAUGAGACCGGCUUUCUUCCCAUACCGCCCAGGAGUUUCUCCAGGUGGCAUUCCUGUCGCCUUGAGGUGGAACAUCAGUAGAGGCUCGAGGCUGAAGCAAGCACAAUACACAAGAGACUCCGAUUCGUACAGGAACAUUUCGAAAACAGGAAAUCCUGAGGACAAUUAUUUCAUCCUGAGCAGGAACACAUUUACUCUUAUAAAAGUUUCAGCUUGAGAGACAGCUGGCAAGAUGGCUGAAUAGGAACAGCUCCAGUCUGCAGCUCCCAGCAAGAUCAAUGCAGAAGGUCCAAUUCUUUUCUAAAAGUCUUCUGGCUAGUCCCAGCAUUUCCAGGGAAGCUGAACAGGUGCAGCCGGAGGCUUGGAGCCACUAUGGAAGCAGCACAGUUGAUGCCUCAGAGGAUCCAGAGAAAAGACCAGAUAACUAUAAUUCAGCCUUCACCCAUAUUGUGUCUUUUUGAUUUUGUCUGAGUAUAUAUGCCGCACAACAAGCAGCUUAUCUCUGAGAUUCAAAUAGUUACUGCAAUUCCAUUAUCUGUUUUUUUACUGUGAGGGAUUUGGAGCCACAUUUAGUCCUACAUCACAGAUACAGGACUCAAGAGUCAAAGUGCACAGAAAUUUGAAUUCCGAUAAGAAUACUCUGAGCCAGUUUAUUCUGGGGUACAUACUUCAUUUUAUGCUAGAACUCUGCAAUCCUGAUGAAAGAGGGCUUGCAUUGCUCAACUAACUAACUCACCCGUCUCUCCUGCAGUAUUAGAAACUACUUCUGUAUGUACACGUUACAGUUUCUAGGAACUCCAUUUUUGCAAGACAGAUAGGAGCCAGAAAAUUUGUUCCUUCAACUGUAUAUCGCUAAUUAAACAUAAAAUCAAAUCAGCAUUUUAGGUACUUGAAUAACUAGUCUGUGCUUACUUUUAUUCAUAUGGAAGCAGUGUUUAAAUUAUUCUCUGAUUGUAAACUCACUUAUGUAAACCAUUAUACAGGAAAAAAAUGAGUAAUGAAGCAAAGUUCUGAAGCAGAUCUAUGUAAGCAAAUUUCAAUAACCUUCUUAAGAGAAUAUGACACUUAGUAGUGGUGAGGGACAUUUUAAGCUUUUUCUAUUUACAAGUUUUUUUUAAACGAGGGUGUUUCAAAGUAAAUAUUUGCUGUUACGUUAUGCCACAUGAUAUACUAAUAAAUGAAUUAAUGAAAUUAACCUAAAUAUCCAGUAUUAUUAUUGAAUAUAUAGCUACUAAAAUUUUAUAUUCAAAUAUAUCCAAGGACAUGAGGAAAUAAGGAUUUAAUUCUAAACAAAAAAAGAAGCUAUGAAAUAUAUAUAAUUUAAGACUAUAAUUUUGUUAAAAAUAUGUUUAUGUAAAUGCGCUAAAAAAAGUUCUUUAAGAAUAUAUGCCAAAAUAUUGACAAUGGUUAUCCCCUGAGUGAUUUUUAUUUUCAUCCUUAGGAUUUUCUGUAUUUUCUGUUUCACAUUUUGAACAUGUAUACUUUUACAAGAAAAUAUGAACUAAAAUUAAAAAUUUUUAAACUCCAAAAAAAAAAAAAAAA
rnacentral:lncRNA from 1 species